UACGGAGGAUCCAAGUGUUAUCCGGAAUCAUUGGGUUUAAAGGGUCCGUAGGCGGUUUGGUAAGUCAGUGGUGAAAGCCCAUCGCUCAACGGUGGAACGGCCAUUGAUACUGCCAGACUUGAAUUAUUAGGAAGUAACUAGAAUAUGUAGUGUAGCGGUGAAAUGCUUAGAGAUUACAUGGAAUACCAAUUGCGAAGGCAGGUUACUACUAAUGGAUUGACGCUGAUGGACGAAAGCGUGGGUAGCGAACAGG
rnacentral:rRNA from 1 species